UCUCCUUUUUACCCGCUAAGAAAGUCGUCAGGCUUUAUUAUGACCAAACAUGCCUGCCAACAAUGUCAUUGACUAUUCGCUUAACCCUAUUUAAAUAGUGAAAAGUGUGUGAGCGCUCGGUCGCUUCUCACGGAAGUGUGUUUGCGGACCGUCAUGAAACAACUAGCAAUGCUACAUGCUAACCAAACAGCGCUGCGCAACGGAAGUAUCGCGCGCUCUGCACGAAGACGAGAGAGGGGUGGACUAACGUGUUUAAGUUCAGAUGGUGUCAGGGGAGAGGAGAGCAAUGAAGCUGCAACGAGCUGAGCACCGAGUGAAGUGAGCCGAGUGACCGCCUCUGCUCCCUGAAGAGCGCCGUGAAGUGAACUGCAAUCGUCUGCUGAAGAAGUACAAGCGCUGCCAUCUGGGACUUGUGCGCUCCAGCAGUGAGCCUGUGAUGAUAUCAAGCCUGCCAGCACGACCAGAUCACACACGUGCAUCAGCCCCACUCUCCCAGCCCUAAAAGGCAAAGAUGCACAGCUGUGUGUGGACAGACCCUUAUCUGCUUCCACUGCCACACCUCCCCAUCAAUAUCGGGCGAUAAAUCAGUCCUGCAGAGGAGCGUGCUCGGGUUCCGCAUGCAUGCGUAGAUAUAUGGCGCACAGCUGAGCUGUGAUGAAUGCUCAGCUGAACCAUGAAGAGUCCAUGUAAGGCUGCAGUGCCACACCGGGUGGGCUGCUCAACUACUCCCGUCAACAGAAGGCUUCGAAGUGGCUCCAUUGGUGGAUCCUGAGGCAGCCAAGUUCAGGAAGAUGGUCGGAGCCACACCCACUACAGCGGUGAGUGGCAUCAUCGUCCAGUCGACGCACGUUGAAAUGUGAUUGAAACAAAGCAGUAGC